GAUUAGGAAAGUGAAGAUGAUAGUUCUCGAAUGAUGUCAGAUUAAUGUUGAGGAUUGGAUGAAUUUGCAUGGAACCAUUUAUAAAAUGUGUACGCAGAAGCCUGAUUGAUUAUUCACAAGAGCUUUAUAACAAAUAUAAGGAGUGUUUUAUUGAAUACAAUGAAUCCGAUCCCGUCAUUGAUGCUGGUGAACUUGAUCGUAAGCUAGAUGAUAUGUUUGACUUUACUAUUCAGGAAAAAAAAUCGGAAGACAUUGAAGAAGACAAAAUAUGAAGAAAUUGAUAUUAACAAAGUAACCACCAUUACUUUUGAGCAAGGAUGGGCAAUUUUGCGGAAAGGGAUUAGGAAAGUGAAUAUGAUAGUUCUCGAAGGAUGUCAGAUUAAUGUUGAGGAUUGGAUGAAUUUGCAUGGAACCAUUUAUAAAAUGUGUACGCAGAAGCCUGAUUGAUCAUUCACAAGAGCUUUAUAACAAAUAUAAGGAG